rnacentral:rRNA from 1 species
CCCUUAGAUGUCCGGGGCCGCACGCGCGCUACACUGAAGGAAUCAGCGUGGCUUUCUCCCUGACCCGAAAGGGUUGGGAAACCCGUUGAAUCUCCUUCGUGAUAGGGAUUGGGGCUUGAAAUUGUUCCCCAUGAACGAGGAAUUCCCAGUAAGCGCGAGUCAUAAGCUCGCGUUGAUUACGUCCCUGCCCUUUGUACACACCGCCCGUCGCUACUACCGAUUGAACGGUUUAGUGAGGGCCUCGGAUUGGUCUCGGCCCGUUCUUUACCGGGCGGCGCCGUUGGUCGAGAAGACGCUCGAACUUGAUCGUUUAGAGGAAGUAAAAGUCGUAACA